rnacentral:rRNA from 1 species
AUUUUUAGACAGCUAAAUUGAAUACACCAGUUCUCGUCCGAUCACUGAAGUUAAGCGACGUCAGGCGUGGUCAGUAAUCGGAUGGGUGACCGUCUGGGAGAUCAAGUGUUGUUGGUU